UGCGGUCCCACCUGACACUCAGUCUCAACCUGUGAUGUUAUAAAGGUGAGCAAAGUCUCAGGUGUCAUCGCGA
rnacentral:pre_miRNA from 1 species